AAACUUUGUAGUUAUAUUACUUGUAAUACAUUUUCCAAAGAAGAAAACUAAACACUGCCAAAUCUCUUCUGCUGGGCGAGAUGAAAGCGUUCAUCUUCUCCGGAGAACACACGAUGUCCUCACCUUGCAAGCAGAGACCAGGCCGUCCCCAGACACUGAGCUUGGUGGCACUUGGAUUUUGGACUUCCAGCCUCCAAAAUACUAUUCAUUGACCUGCUCAAGUAACAUAUCUCUCCAGCGUAAUUUUAUGUAACCACCUUCCUUUAUUACUGUUAUGGAAAUAAAAUAAGAAACAGAAGCUUUGGGAGGCCAAGGUGGGCAGAUCAAUUGAGGUCAAGAGUUCAAGACCAGCCUAGCCAACAUGGUGAAACCAUGUCUCUGCUAAAAAUACAAAAAUUAGCCUGGUGUGGUGACUCAGCCCCUGUAAUCCCAGCUACUCUGGAGGCCUGGGCACGCAGGAGAAUCACUUGAACCUGGGAGGAAAAGGUUGCGGUAAGCUGAGAUCAUACCACUGCUCUCCAGCCUGGGAAACACA
rnacentral:lncRNA from 1 species